CGUAAAAACCCUAUUUGUAAACAACCAGCCCUUUAACUCGGGGCUGCGUCAUAAACACGGCGCGCUUGGAAGACCACGAUGUCAUCUUCCUUCUGUCAGGAGGAUCCCAGUGAAGCUACAGGAGUUUCAUUAACGUCAACAACUUGGACCAAACAGUUUGUUUUGCUUGAUGAAGAGCAGGAAGGGCAGCCUGGAGAGAAAGAGAAGCCGGGUUGAGCCCACUACCAUCAUCCACGUACCACGAGGAAGAUGAGGGAGAGAAAUGAUCCUACCAUUAAAGAGACUGUGAAAAGAACGUUGAGAACAUCACCACUCUACAGGAAGACACAGUCCAGUAAUGGGUGUCAGAAGUUCAGUAGUGAACGACAGAAACAAACAAUCCAAAUUACCUGCAGAAAGCCCUUGAUGGACGCUUCAGCUGCAUCGUCAGACUGGCAGUACUGAUGCAUUUACUGAGACGGGACGUGAGGGCCUACUCUGCGUGCUCAGAGUUCAAGCCCAGCAGGCUGCAGCGGGCCUGACAUAUUCUGGAACAGCAGCACAGUCUUUGGAUGACUCCUCUGAAGAUGAAAACAUGGCGAGUUCUUCUCAAGAGAAGCAGUACAGGUGUGCCUCAGCUCCACGGUCCCUCCUGCAGCCUCCGCUCCUGAUGCUAACCUCAUGUCUCCAUCACACCAAGCAGCAGACCUGGAUUGACAGACCUUUCUCCAGAGCUGCCCCCUCCCUCUGAAACCCCCCUCUCCAAAACACUAUUUGUGUAGUUUUUAAAGUAUUUUUUGCAUGAGAAUUGUUGAUCAUAACAUUUCCAGCAGAUGCCUUAAUAUAAUGUUUGUGCACAA